CCAAUCCAAUCCUCUCCAAGUGAGGAAGCUCUAUCGAUAGGAGUAAUGUCUCAAUCAACUCAUCGACAACCUUUCCAUGUGAGGCUACUUAGGUUUACUAAGUCCUUGUCCACAAGGCAUUUUCUAAGGGAUCCACCUAUCCCUAGGUUCUCAAACCUCUAGUGUUGUUUACAUUACAUUAAUGCCACUCGUCAUCAUUAAAUGUUUGGAUGCCACUCGUUUCUUCUUUAAUAUUAGCACUACUUUCUAUGUCAUCAAUACCCCCAUCGGGUUCAUCUCAUUUCUUUCACAUCAUAGGAUCCACGUCUCGACCCAAUCCUCACCUAUCUAUGUCACCAAGCGUUCCAAGUACACUAGGUUAUCAACUAGAAAGCAUAAGGAAAGGUAAUAUCAUGCAACCCUACAAUGCAACAUGAAGAGAUGAGAUUAAAUGCAAUCUAAGACAUAGAAAGGAGUUCGAAAGCUUCGGGAUGGCACCCCCUACCUCUUAUCAACGUAGAUGCUUUAGCAAUGCUCCUUGGCGAGCACUACGAUGAGGCUUUAGCCUCCUUUGGUCCAAGAUAAUGCCGAAACGACCGUAAUUCGCCGAUUGCUCCAAGCCCGCUCGACAAAUCGCGGAAUCGACUUCGCCCCCGCGUUUGGGCACCUAUCGAUUAGGUUUACAAGGCCUCAAAUGAGGUCAAUCUCAUACUUUACAAAAUGCCCCCAUUUGGAGCCCUAGGAUGCACAUAUAGCAACCUCCAAUAAAACCCUAGAUUCUUGGGAUUGAUCUAUUAAGAAGCUUGCUUAGGGUCCAUUUGACCCACUCCACGGCAUAAAAAUCCCAAAACCCUAAGUAUAAAAAGCUAGGGUUUGUAGCUUACCUCUUGAGCUACACCAAUGGAGAGGAGAGAGAGAGAGGAAAAUGCUCCAAGCCUUCUUCUUCUUCUUCUCCUCCUUCUUCUUCUUCCUCUCCUCCUUCUUUUUCUUCUCUUUCUCCUUCUUCUUCUUUGUUAUCUCUAGAGAGAGAGAGAGAGCAAGAGAGAAAGAGAGUAAGAGAGAGAGAAAUGAGAGGCUGAGAGAGGGAGUGGGCUAAUAUGCUCCUCUAUUAUAACAAAAUCCACUCUUUUCAUCUCUCAACCUGCUGUCACUGGGCUGUUUUCGCCCAGAGGGACCGGUCUCCCCGACAAGGGACCGGUCCCCGAGAGCUCUCCCCGCAGUCUGGGGACUUUUCGCGUUCGGGAACCGGUCCUCACCUGAGGGACCGGUCCCUGGGAGACCGGUCUCUCCUGAGAGACUGGUUCCCGAAAGGGAAACCUUCAGGACUUAGCCAAAUUUAGGCUUUCUCUCGCGGGCGUCGCGCACGGGGACCAGUCCCCUCAGCCAGGGACCGGUCCCCUCAGCCAGGGACCGGUCGCAUC
rnacentral:lncRNA from 1 species